rnacentral:rRNA from 1 species
AACGAACGCUGGCGGCAUGCCUAACACAUGCAAGUCGAACGAAACCUUCGGGUCUAGUGGCGCACGGGUGCGUAACGCGUGGGAACCUGCCCUUAGGUUCGGAAUAACUCCCCGAAAGGGGUGCUAAUACCGGAUCAUGUCUUCGGACCAAAGAUUUAUCGCCUUUGGAUGGGCCCGCGUUGGAUUAGAUAGUUGGUAGGGUAAAAGCCUACCAAGGCGACGAUCCAUAGCUGGUCUGAGAGGAUGAUCAGCCACACUGGGACUGAGACACGGCCCAGACUCCUACGGGAGGGAGCAGUGGGGAAUAUUGGACAAUGGGCGAAAGCCUGAUCCAGCAAUGCCGGGUGAGUGAUGAAGGCCUUAGGGUUGUAAAGCUCUUUUACCCGGGAUGAUAAUGACAGUACCGGGAGAAUAAGCUCCGGCUAACUCCGUG